UUAGCUGUAAAGGUAUCACUGACAACCAGACCUUUGUCAGUGCUGGCAAAAGAACACAGAACUGCUUCCCUCCCCUCCCCCUCUCCCGACCCCCUAUGCUGCUAGUUCCAAUGGAAAAUAUCCAAUAGGAAGUCUAUCCAAAAAUCAUUCCUAAAAAAUGAAAUUGCUUUCAUAUGGUAUAAAAAAGUAAGUUUCCUCAUUUCAAGCAGAUUUUAAAAUUACAUUUCCAAGAAUAAUCUUGGAACAAGACAAGUUUUCGUUCAAUUAAUUGUGGCUGGAAACUUUUUAAUGGAAACAUAGCACAUACUUACUUCAUUUCAGGUUAUUAAAUUGUGUUAAGCAUUAGAGUUAUUUGCCAUUCUUUGCUGCAGCUCAUUUGUUCUUUUCGAUCCUAAGAAAUAUUAGAAGGUUAAAUAACUUAUCACAUACGAGGGAUUAAUCAUACUGCCAAAAUUAGAAUGUGUGUAGUUCUGAGGGACUGAAUGUCAAAAUUGUAUGCUCAUUGCACUAAAACUAUUGGGGAUCUAGGAAAUCACAAGAGCGUUUAAAAUGGCAGCUAAGGUCUGUGGAAACCCUUCAUGUUUAGAAACUGGCUAAAGCUUGAUAUCUCUUCUCUUUUGGUUAAGGGCACCACUCUCAGAUAAAAACAUAGACCUGAAUGGCAUCAUCCAGUAUCCAAGGAAACCAUGAUUAAAAUGUUAGCUAGGAGAGACCAGAGCAGUGCAUAGUCUACCUCAUUUCCCACUACUGAGGUUUUACCUAAUUGCAUAUGAAUUAAGAGAUUUUCCAUUCUGACUGGUGACAAAAGGCCUAUUUCCAGCCCUAGGAAGGUGCCAGGUAGGCUUUUUCUUGCCUUUGGAAAACAUAAAUCUCUUACUAGAGAUAUGAAAUAUUCAGCUGAAUUGAUUUAUGGCCUGGUAAAGGUCUUUUCAUGCUCUGCAAUGACAAUAUUUUUACAAAACCUACACUAGAUGAUCUAUCUAGGGAUCCCAGCAAGUGAUCCUAAGAGAAAAUAUAUUCUGUUUCAUCCAGGUAAUAUAUCAGUCUCUCUGCUCACAAGCCAGCCAAUCAAAUACGAUAGUCCCAUCAUUUAUAUGCAUUCCCUGUCUCUCUCUCCCUCUCUCUCUCUUCCUUUCCAUCCGUCCUCUCUGCUGUCUGCUGUCAUCUCUCUGAUCUCGGGUUAAUGCUAUGUACUAGGCUAAAAGAAAUCUAAAUAAUCAGUUCUUCUUGCCAUUGGACAACAUAAAAAUCUUGGUGCAAUAAUGCAUUGGUAGUGGGUUUGCCCAUUUGGGUAAUUAGUUAUCUAGGCACAAGGGCAGUGUCUGCCCCUAGUAAUUUCUUAGUCUCUAUUUGCUGGCUGAGGACUCUGAAUUGAAUUUCUUUCUUUUUAUAUAACCUAUUUAUCUAAGUGCAUCUUUCACUCUGCUUGUGAUUUUUGACUUUUGGGAAAGUUUCCCAAGAGAUAUUUAGCAUUUGGUUGUCGGGGGUGGGGGGUGAUUAAAAUUCGCUUUCCUCUUCAGAUUAUUUUUCUUCUUUGUUGUUGUUAGAAAUAACAUUUUCACCAUGUACUUUUAAAUUAUCUAUUUCCUAUCUUCUUACAUCUUUAUUUACUCUUUUGAAACAGGCUGUUUUGCUCUCCUUUGUCAGCUUUUUCCUCUCCUCUUACUCUCUUUUAUGUUACCAUUUAGGUUCAGGCUAAAUUGCUGGGACAGCUGCUUUCUUUGACCUCCUCUCGACUUUGCUGACCACAUCACCAACUGGCAGGGUGUCGUGCCUUAAGACCUUCCAAAAGACUUGCUUCCAAAUGGAAAUAAUGGAGUAACAUUUUAUAUGAUCAAACAUGAGAGAAUUCCAGUAAUUUUAAGCAUUUUAAGGUACAUUCAGCAUAUUGCUCAAAUGAUUACUAAAAUUCUGCAUCUGAAAAGCAGUUAAUCCCACAUUGAAACCGCUUGUAGAAUACACGAUUCAGAGAGUGGUCAUUGGUUAAUGACAGCUACAGAAGGAAGCCCUGGGAGCCAUCUAGCAGGGAACCCCUUUUCUUCCAGAAAGUAAUACAUCUAAGCUCUCCUCUGUAGAAGACUGUUUUGUCUUUCCUUAAGAAAUGUAAAGGAAAGAAUUUUUAUUAUAUUUCUGUCUAUUGUCUUAUGACUUUUACAACUAUUGAAUUAUUUGAACCAAAUCCCGUUCUUUUUAUUAGCCUCUCCUUUCUCACCACAUGUACUUACAAAUAUACACAUACUCACAAUAUAGUGGGGAAAACAGGCUUUUUGGUCGAAUCUGUAUCAUUAGGAGGAAAAUUAUUUUUUCUGACCAUAGAAGUAUAGGUUUGAUUUUAUAAAUUUUAAAAUACUUAGAACUAGAACCAAAUUAGAGUUUGUUAAUGCUGAGAUUUCUCUUUUUUGAAUGAAGAGCUCAGUGCAUCAUUUUUUGCCACUUUCAUUCUUCAUUUCAUCAGCAACCUUCACUUCAGCCACCAUGCGGUAAAAAUGUUUGCAAGUAGGCUCUGGUGCUUCCACGAGGUAUACCCGGCUGCUCAGGGGGAAUGCAUGGGACGGAGGGAGGCCCUUUUAUACUCUGUGGCCGGCAGGAAAAAUCACUGAAAUCCUCUUAGAUAUUAGAGGGGAAUAUCCUGAGCUAUUCUGAAAUCUCAAAAGGACUAACAAAGUUCAUUCCAUUUGUCAUUGAAAUGUGACAGUGAUGUAGAACAAAACCUUUCCGCAGUGGGGGCUGGCUGCACUGAAUUCCUUUUGCAACAAGGAAAUUAGGUCAGAAGAAAUUUAGGUCAACACCUUACAGAGAUGUCCCCAUGCCUGAGAGGAGCCAGGAGAACUUAAAACGUUCCACACAGAAAGGUUAUUGUUUUUAUAUUUAAUUUGAAAAAUGGUACCUUCCAAAGCUUAGUGUGAUAUAAAUUCAGCUAUGAUUCAGCAAAGAAAAUUACCUUUUGCAUCACUAGCACUGCUUCUGAUAAAUCUAGACACGAUCCUGAGGUGCUUAUAACCAAGCCCAGCUGACACAGUUUAAUCAUGCAAUUCAAGAAAUAUCUAUCAAGUCUUGGUUAUGUGCAAUUAACCUAUUAGAUAAUGUAAAGGUUGUAAAGAUUAAUAAGUACCUCCUCCCACUAACCACAUCUUUACCAUUAGGAAGUUAGCUAAGGUGGAGGAGAAGGUUAUGGGGUAGAUUAAAAUGCAUAUAGCCUAUAGGUCAUUGAUUCACUCAUCAUAGAGCAAAUGAACUCCUACUGUAUGCCAAAGACUAUGAAAGUGAUAUACAAGAGUUAAAGUAAGUGAUUCUGGAUGGAGAAGAGAAAGAGGUCGGGUUGGUUUGGGAUAAAAAAAAGGAAUGAUUUCUUGAAAAAAGAGCAGUUUAACUGAACUUUAAAUAAAUAUAUAUAAUUUCAAAAGAUGGUGGUAGGUAAGAGGUCCCUGAGUGGAAGUGGUGGGAAGAGGGACACAGUGGGUGGGGAUGCCUGGAGGAGGGUAGGCAAAAAGACCCCAUGGCUGAGAAUGUUAGGAGAGAAAAGCAUGUGCUAUGGCAAAGGGAUAGACAAGUACGUGCUGUAUUUGGGCAACAAAUAAUGACCCAUGUUGAUUACAUUGACGACAAAAGGCAGAAAUAGAAGUAGUUAGAAAGGGUAAGUCAGAAACCUAAUUAGACAUACCUUGAAUACCAGACUGGGGAGUGGCAUGGGUGGAGUGAGCUAUUCUGUGGCCCCGUGGAAAGGAUUCUGGUGAAAUUCUUGGUGACUUGGAUGGCUCUUCUGACCAAUUACGAUGGCUGAAUACAGGUUAGGAAAGUUAUUCCACAAAACCUAAACUAUUGUUCUGGAAUGUCUUUAGAUAUGAAGUUACUUGAUCAACAUCUCUACUGUUAAUAUUGAAUGUAUAUUUCUUAAGCGAAACAAGUGGAAUUUUACUAAAUCCACUUUUUAAAGUAUCCCAACUGAAGUCUAAUUUGGCGUUUGGCCAGUUUAAACAAAAAAAUGAAUGAGAAAUAUAAAAAAUGAGCAAGGUUUUAUUUUCAUUGGUUAUGUGACCACCUUCUCACUACAUACAUCAGUUAGCGAAGUCUGCUUUCAACUGUGGAAAUUUCAUUAUCACAUCUAAUUCUGGUUUGGUAGCACAUUAAACUUUCAAACAGUUAAUGACUCUGGUUUUCUUUCUGUUCAGCUUUACCUUUCAUAAAAGCACCGGCAAGAGGAAAGAAAUGACAGUAAGACUGAAUUAUGAACUUUAAAAAGUUGAGAACAAGUAACUACUUGUACUGUGAAAGCUGUUCUCUCUGCUCUUGAUUAACUGUCUGCAACAGGUCAGUGGUGAGCACUGUGUACCGUGGCGAUGAUUGUUGCAGCAGACAGGCAGAGUAAAUCACAGGGAUGCGUGGGGGACCCAACGGGAGGAAUUUCUUUUAGCCUCCUAUUUAAUACAUAGAGAUUACCGAAAUUCCGCUUUCAUAAAAUGGCUCAUUUCACAGACUUAUUUCCAAUAUCUUCCACAGAUCACAAUUUUAACAAAAAACAAAACAGCAUUUGAAGUGAAGAAUAGAUUAGUUUUUGCCUACCUUGAAGCUCUUUGGAAAUUGGUGAGUGAGGACAUUUUUAAGAUUCGAUCCCAGAAAUUUGUAGGUAGGGAGCAGGAAGAGGUUGUACAUAUGUAUGUAUGUAUGUUCAUAUACUCUAUAUAUGAUAUGUAUGUA